AUUGAACGCUGGCGGCAGGCUUAACACAUGCAAGUCGAGCGGAGAUGAGGUGCUUGCACCUUAUCUUAGCGGCGGACGGGUGAGUAAUGCUUAGGAAUCUGCCUAUUAGUGGGGGACAACAUUCCGAAAGGAAUGCUAAUACCGCAUACGUCCUACGGGAGAAAGCAGGGGAUCUUCGGACCUUGCGCUAAUAGAUGAGCCUAAGUCGGAUUAGCUAGUUGGUGGGGUAAAGGCCUACCAAGGCGACGAUCUGUAGCGGGUCUGAGAGGAUGAGCCGCCAAACUGGGGAUGAGACACGGCCCAGACUCCUACGGGAGGCAGCAGUGGGGAAUAUUGGACAAUGGGGGAAACCCUGAUCCAGCCAUGCCGCGUGUGUGAAGAAGGCCUUAUGGUUGUAAAGCACUUUAAGCGAGGAGGAGGCUACUGAGACUAAUACUCUUGGAUAGUGGACGUUACUCGCAGAAUAAGCACCGGCUAACUCUGUGCCAGCCGCCGCGGUAA
rnacentral:rRNA from 1 species